rnacentral:rRNA from 1 species
UACAGAGGGGGCAAGCGUUAUUCGGAAUUAUUGGGCGUAAAGGGCGCGUAGGCGGCCUGGCAAGUGGAAGGUGAAAUCCCUCGGCUUAACCGAGGAACUGCCCUCCAAACUGCUUGGCUUGAGACCGGGAGAGGUGAGUGGAAUUCCCAGUGUAGCGGUGAAAUGCGUAGAUAUUGGGAAGAACACCGGUGGCGAAGGCGGCUCUCUGGGCCGAUACUGACGCUGAGGAGCGAAAGCGUGGGGAGCGAACAGG